rnacentral:rRNA from 1 species
UACGUAGGGGGCAAGCGUUGUCCGGAUUUAUUGGGCGUAAAGAGCGUAUAGGCGGCUUUACAGGUCCGUUGUGAAAACUCGAGGCUCAACCUCGAGACGCCGGUGGAAACCGUAAAGCUAGAGUCCGGAAGAGGAGAGUGGAAUUCCUGGUGUAGUGGUGAAAUGCGCAGAUAUCAGGAGGAACACCCGUGGCGAAAGCGGCUCUCUGGGACGGUACUGACGCUGAGACGCGAAAGCGUGGGGAGCAAACAGG